GACGUAGGGCGCGAGCGUUGUCCGGAUUUAUUGGGCGUAAAGAGCUCGUAGGCGGCUUGGCAAGUCGGGUGUGAAAACUCCAGGCUCAACCUGGAGAUGCCACUCGAGACUGCUAUGGCUAGAGUCCGGUAGGGGACCACGGAAUUCCUGGUGUAGCGGUGAAAUGCGCAGAUAUCAGGAGGAACACCGGUGGCGAAGGCGGUGGUCUGGGCCGGCACUGACGCUGAGGAGCGAAAGCGUGGGGAGCAAACAGG
rnacentral:rRNA from 1 species